rnacentral:rRNA from 1 species
UACGGGGGGGGGUAAGCGUUGUUCGGAAUUACUGGGCGUAAAGGGCUCGUAGGCGGCCAACUAAGUCAUACGUGAAAUCCCUCAGCUUAACUGGGGAACUGCGUGUGAUACUGGAUGGCUUGGAUUUGGGAGAGGGAUGCGGAAUUCCAGGUGUAGCGGUGAAAUGCGUAGAUAUCUGGAGGAACACCGGUGGCGAAGGCGGCAUCCUGGACCAACACUGACACUGAGGAGCGAAAGCCAGGGGAGCAAACGGG